rnacentral:misc_RNA from 1 species
GAUGAAGAACGUAGCGAAAUGCGAUACUUGGUGUGAAUUGCAGAAUCCCGUGAACCAUCGAGUCUUUGAACGCAAGUUGCGCCCGAAGCCAUCAGGUUGAGGGCACGUCUGCCUAGGCGUCACAUAUCGUUGCCCAAUGCCUAUUGCAGUGCAAUAGGAAUUUCUAGGGCGAAUGAUGGCUUCCCGUGAGCGUUGUUGCCUCGCGGUUGGUUGAAAAUCGAGUCCUUGGUAGGGUGUGCCAUGGUAGAUGGUGGUCGAGUUAGAACGAUACCGAUCAUGUGCAUGCUCCCCAAAAUAUGGCCUCUAUGACCCACACGCGUCUUUUGACGCUCAUGACGAGACCUCAGGUCAGGCGGGGCUACCCGCUGAAUUUAAGCAUAUCAAUAACGGAGGA